rnacentral:rRNA from 1 species
GAUGAACGCUGGCGGCGUGCCUAAUACAUGCAAGUCGAGCGAACAGACGAGGAUUUUGCCCCGCUGACGUUACCGGCGGACGGGUGAGUAACACGUGGAUAACCUACCUAUAAGACUGGGAUAACUUCGGGAACCCGGAUCCAAUACCGGACAAUAUAUUGAACCGCAUGGUUCUUUAGUGAAAGACGGUUUUGCUGUCCCUAAUAGAUGGAUCCGCGCCGCAUUAGCUAGUUGGUACGGUAACGGCUUACCAAGGCUACGAUGCGUAGCCGAUCUGAGAGGGUGAUCGGCCACACUGGAACUGAGACACGGUCCAGACUCCUACGGGAGGCAGCAGUGGGGAAUAUUGCACAAUGGGCGAAAGCUUGACGGAGCAACGCCGCGUGAGUGAUGAAGGUCUUCGGAUCGUAAAACUCUGUUAGUAGGGAAGAACAAAUGUGUGAGUAUCUAUGCACGUCUUGACGGUACCUAAACAAAAAGCCACGGCUAACUACGUG